rnacentral:rRNA from 1 species
CCUACGGGGCGCAGCAGUGGGGAAUAUUGCACAAUGGGGGAAACCCUGAUGCAGCGACGCCGCGUGAGUGAAGAAGUAAUUCGUUAUGUAAAGCCCUUUCAGCAGGGAAGAAAAUGACGGUACCUGAGUAAGAAGCCCCGGCUAACUACGUGCCAGCAGCCGCGGUAAUACGCAGGGGGCCAGCGUGAUCCGGAUUUACUGGGGGUAAAGGAAGCGUAGACGGCAGUGCAAGUCGGGAGUGAAAGGCGGGGGGUCAACCCCCGGACUGCUCUGGAAACUGUACGGCUGGAGUGCAGGAGAGGGAAGCGGAAUGCGUGGUGUAGCGGUGAAAUGCGUAGAUAUUAGGAGGAACACCAGUGGCGAAGGCGGCUUACUGGACUGUAACUGACGUUGAGGCACGAAAGCGUGGGGAGCGAACAGGAUUAGAUACCCGAGUAGUC